rnacentral:lncRNA from 1 species
GCAUAUCUCAUGCAUCAUGAUUAUGCCAUAGGUUGAUUGCAUUAGUAUUCACGAAUAUGUUGCAUUGCAUCGUUAUUUGAUGAUGUGAGUGAAUGCUGAAUGAUCCAAUAGUCUCAGACAGGAAGUCCAGGAGCCUUUGACUACGCCCUGGCAGGUAUAGAGAAGUCCAGGAGCCUUUGCCUACGCCCUGGCAGGUAUAGCAAAGUCCAGGAGCCUUUGACUACGCCCUGGCAAUGGUAAGUACA